CGCCAGACUCCUACGGGAGGCAGCAGUGGGGAAUAUUGCGCAAUGGGGGAAACCCUGACGCAGCAACGCCGCGUGCAGGAAGAAGGUCUUCGGAUUGUAAACUGUUGUCGCAGGGGAAGAAGACAGUGACGGUACCCUGUGAGAAAGUCACGGCUAACUACGUGCCAGCAGCCGCGGUAAUACGUAGGGGGCAAGCGUUAUCCGGAUUUACUGGGUGUAAAGGGAGCGUAGACGGAUAAGCAAGUCUGAUGUGAAAAUCCGGGGCCCAACCCCGGAAUUGCAUUGGAAACUGCAUAUCUAGAGUGUCGGAGAGGCAAGUGGAAUUCCUGGUGUAGCGGUGAAAUGCGUAGAUAUCAGGAGGAACACCAGUGGCGAAGGCGGCUUGCUGGACGAUGACUGACGUUGAGGCUCGAAAGCGUGGGGAGCAAACAGGAUUAGAUACCCGGGUAAC
rnacentral:rRNA from 1 species